UAAAGCGCACGCAGGCGGUCUGUCAAGUCGGAUGUGAAAUCCCCGGGCUUAACCUGGGAACUGCAUUCGAAACUGGCAGGCUAGAGUCUUGUAGAGGGGGGGAGAAUUCCAGGUGUAGCGGUGAAAUGCGUAGAGAUCUGGAGGAAUACCGGUGGCGAAGGCGGCCCCCUGGACAAAGACUGACGCUCAGGUGCGAAAGCGUGGGGAGCAAACAGGAUUAGAUACCCUGGUAGUCCACGCCGUAAACGAUGUCGAUUUGGAGGUUGUGCCCUUGAGGCGUGGCUUCCGGAGCUAACGCGUUAAAUCGACCGCCUGGGGAGUACGGCCGCAAGGUUAAAACUCAAAUGAAUUGACGGGGGCCCGCACAAGCGGUGGAGCAUGUGGUUUAAUUCGAUGCAACGCGAAGAACCUUACCUGGUCUUGACAUCCACAGAACUUUCCAGAGAUGGAUUGGUGCCUUCGGGAACUGUGAGACAGGUGCUGCAUGGCUGUC
rnacentral:rRNA from 1 species